rnacentral:lncRNA from 1 species
GCAAAUUAACAAUUUUUUAGAUUACGCAUUAUUUCUUGAUUACAAUUUAUCAUUUCUAUUGGUCAUAUAUUGUUUAUUAGUCACAUCUUAUAGAUUAACCAAUUUAAUAGUCACAAUCAACUAAAUCAUUUGUGACCAUCACUAUCACCAACAAUAUCGCCACCAAAAUUGUCAUCGCUAGAACCGCCACCACCUGACUACAACCACUACUAGACAAUGAUCGUCGCUUCCACAACCAUCACCACCACCACCGCUAGAUGCACCACCAAAUCCACCCCCAUCAACUUUAGAUCUAUCAUUAGUAGCGCCCAAUUCACCAUAUCAAACAAACCACUUCGUUACCUCAUCACUGCCUCCAAUUGCACAAUCGCCAAAACCACCACCACUUCCCAAUAGUAACAUCACCAUAUCAAACAAACCAACACCCACCAUUUUCAACUACAAAUCACCAUUGCCACUGCCAAAUCCACCAUUACUAGGUCCAUCGUCGAAUCCAACAAAACCCACCCCAACAACAAAGAUCUACGACCAUUGUCACUAAUAAAAACCACAAACACCACUAAAUCUAAGAAAACCACCACCAUAGCCACUGCCAUCCAACCACCCCAGAACCACGAAGAUUGUCACAACGAACACCACACAGCGAUGUGUAGGUCAAUACCUCAUAGGAAAGUGUGGUAGAACUGCUACUAUGCUCAGGUCAGCAUUGGACCUGAAAAUUCAAAGGCCCUUUACGUUGCUGGGGCAGUGGCUCCGUCGCUGCUGUAGUGACACUCACUCCACUACGAUGACUUCAUCGUCACAGUGUCGUCGAAGUGGGUGAUUAGUCGCCAAAGAAGGGAUCAAAAUAGAGAGAGAGAGAGAGAGAGAGAGGGAGAGAGAGAAUGA